UGGCUGACAGAAGUCAAGGAGUUCUUAGUCAAGUAUUUUUGGAAAACCAUAAUUUUUACCAGCCCAGAAGAACGCGUCAUGCCGUACAUGUGUACUCACCUGGUUUUCAAAGAAGCUUUAGAAGAAGGAAGUUAGGUAUUCCAUUUUACAAGAAAAAAUAUCAAACAGCUCCGAAGGUUCUCAGAAGUUCACAAUUUUCAGCGCGUAAUCAAAGGGAAAGUCCUUUAAAAACUCCAGGUAAUAUAAAUUUCGCAUUAUGAAUGAGAAAUUUCAACGAACCAAUUUUUCAACAAAGGAAAACACAUCGGAAGUUAGUAAAACAAAUAAAGGGAGGGUAAAUAGUUUUUAAA